GAUGAAGAACGCAGUGAAAUGCGAUAAGUAAUGUGAAUUGCAGAAUUCAGUGAAUCAUCGAAUCUUUGAACGCACAUUGCGCCCUCUGGUAUUCCGGGGGGCAUGCCUGUUCGAGCGUCAUUACAACCCUCAAGCUCUGCUUGGUAUUGGGCUCUGCCGGUCCUGGCAGGCCUCAAGGUCAGUGGCGGUGCCAUCCGGCUCCAAGCGUAGUAAUUCUCCUCGCUUCGGAGGCCGCGGUGCGUGCUAGCCAGCAACCCCCAAUUUUUUUCAGGUUGACCUCGGAUCAGGUAGGGAUACCCGCUGAACUUAAGCAUAUCAAUAAGCGGAGGA
rnacentral:misc_RNA from 1 species